UGCCCGUGACGGAGGCAACGGACCCCUGGAACAGCCCGGUGCAUAUCUUUUUUAAAGGGGCAAUUCUCCUUGGAGACCGAUACAAACUGAAAAGUCAAAGAUGAAGGGCAUAGAGUUAAAUAUUGAGUUAAAUAUUAGGUACCAGACUGACUGACAGCCCAAGUUACAACCCCAGCUCUUGCAAGUCCGACUGACAACUAAGUUUUAGCUGCUCCCUGCCACGGUCCACUUAAUUAGUCUUGUUGCAAAACAAAAACAACUUGAUUUUGCAUAUGGAGGUAUAAGAAAAACACUUUACCAAUCAAAUAAAAUAAAUGUCAUCAUUAAAAA